GGCCUAAUACAUGCAAGUCGAACGGCAGCAGGCUGUAGCAAUACAGUGCUGGCGAGUGGCGCACGGGUGCAUAACACGUAUGUAAUUUGCCCAUAACUGGGGGAUAGCCUUCCGAAAGGAAGAUUAAUACCCCAUAACCCAGCGAGGUGGCAUCACCUUUCUGGUAAAACUCCGGUGGUUAUGGAUAAGCAUGCGUCUGAUUAGCUAGUUGGCGAGGUAACGGCUCACCAAGGCAACGAUCAGUAGGGGGUCUGAGAGGAUGAUCCCCCACACGGGUACUGAGACACGGACCCGACUCCUACGGGAGGCAGCAGUAAGGAAUAUUGGACAAUGGAGGCAACUCUGAUCCAGCCAUGCCGCGUGAAGGAUGAAGGCGCUACGCGUUGUAAACUUC
rnacentral:rRNA from 1 species